AACGAACGCUGGCGGCAUGCCUAACACAUGCAAGUCGAACGGGAUCCGAGCUUCGGUUCGGUGAGAGUGGCGGACGGGUGAGUAACGCGUGGGAACCUGCCCAGUGGUGGGGGAUAACUGCGGGAAAACUGCAGCUAAUACCGCAUGAGCCCGAGGGGGGAAAGAUUUAUCGCCAUUGGAGGGCCCGCGUUCGAUUAGGUAGUUGGUGAGGUAACGGCUCACCAAGCCUUCGAUCGAUAGCUGGUCUGAGAGGAUGAUCAGCCACACUGGGACUGAGAUACGGCCCAGACUCCUACGGGAGGCAGCAGUGGGGAAUAUUGGACAAUGGGGGCGAACCCUCGAUCCAGCAAUGCCGCGUGAGUGAUGAAGGGCCCUUCGGUUUCGGUU
rnacentral:rRNA from 1 species